AUGCGGUACUCGGGAGGUGGAAUUGGCAACGGAGGUGGCUCCAUAUGGAUGUCGCGGACCUCCCACUGGAUGGAAUCGAAGUGGGACGAUGUGCUUCGGUCGUCAACGGCGGCUGCGCGGGAUGCAGUAUGGUAUGGAUCGGGCAUCUCGAGGAUGGGCUUUCUUCGCAAGGCUCGUCCACGCCAGUACGCUCUCUGA
rnacentral:rRNA from 1 species